rnacentral:rRNA from 3 species
CAACAAACUUGGUUUUCUUCUUUCCGUGUAGUCGGUGGAGGAUAUGCCAGAUAUGAAGUGUCUUGCGAUUGAUUUUUGUAUCGGUUGCGAGUCCUUUUAAACGUAAAACACUGUACUUCUCUUUGCUCGAAAAGCGUGGCGUUGCUGGUUGUGAAGGCUGUCCAUGUGACCAGUCGGCGAUCGUUUUGUCUACUAUGGCGUUUAAUGGAGAAGUAUUUGAUUCGCGGUAUGAUUGGCUUCGGCUGAACAGGCGCUGAUUGAAUAUUUUUCCUGCUAUGGCGGUAUGAACUUGAUGAACCGUAGUCGUAUGUUGACUUGGCUUUUGAAUUGGCUUUGCUGUUGCGAAGUAGAGUGACAGUUUCGGCUGUCGAGGGUCGACCGAUUUGGGAAAUUUGUGUGAUGCGACUUCGGUUGCGUUGCAUCUCAA